UACGAAGGGGCUAGCGUUGUUCGGAAUUACUGGGCGUAAAGCGCGCGCAGGCGGUUCUUUAAGUCAGGGUGAAAGCCCAGAGCUCAACUCUGGAAUUGCCUUUGAAACUAGAGAACUUGAGUACGGGAGAGGUGAGUGGAAUUCCGAGUGUAGAGGUGAAAUUCGUAGAUAUUCGGAAAGAACACCAGUGGCGAAGGCGGCUCACUGGCCCCGUUACUGACGCUCAGGCGCGACAGCGUGGGGAGCAAACGAGG
rnacentral:rRNA from 1 species